UGAGUGCGGCGACGGCCCCCAUGCUCACCAGCGUGCCGGUGGACAGGCUGCGGAGGUACUCCCUCACCUCGGCCAGCUCAGGCACACGCAGCUGCUUCAACAGCUCCUGGGCCUGCAUGUCUUUCUGCUAAUGGAUCUGAGUCUAGAGUGGAGGGAUGUUGCAGACUCUUGAACAGGCUGAGUGGAGACAGGUAGCAUUAACAGACAUUUGUCAACAGUAAAGCAUCCGAGUUUAUGUGUUAUUGCAAUAGACAAUGCAAAUCCGAAGGUCAAACUCAGACCUGCCCCUUCCGCCGUCUUAUUGGACGAUCUGCCUUCGAAAUGUGCCGCGUCAGCUGGUAUAUUGGGG